UCCCCCUGGCAAUGAGCAAAGAGAUACCUCUUUGAUGUUGUUUUUCUAUCAGUCAGGGGCAGAGCAGAUGGCAGUCCUUUGUUCAUCUUAGCUUGAUGCCUGGUUUUGUGGCUAAAUCUGCUUUAUGCCCAGGACUCAUAA